CCGUAGCAACCAAAGUUACAUGGAGGUGGCAUGCUAUGUAACUGUAGUAUCCCCUAGGGACAGGCAUUGGGCUGCGGGCAAUGGGCUGACCCCUUCCCAGUGGGCAGAUGAUCAGCUAUUGAACUAAAAUCUGGACUGUGAAUAUGCCAAGAAGAAUUCUUAGUGCAUGCGCUCAAAUAUGUUAGCUCUCCUUAUCUUUUAUUAAAGCCCUUCUUUGGAUGGAGGACUAAACUAGAGGUGGCCAGAAAAUGUAUAAGAUCAGGUUUCCCUGAGCCCUGUAAGUACUUAGAAAAUGCUUUAUUGAUUACAAUGUAAUAGGGCUCAUCCCCUGCCAUGGGGGGGUUAUGGUGACAGUCUUUAAAGAGUGAGGGAUAGUGACAAAUGUUCAGAAUGUCCCAUAACCACAGGUGGGCCGCCCCUCUGCUGGGACAGGGCUUCAUCUGAUUAUUCCACAAUGGUUAAAUUUUGGGUGUUCCCUUGCCCUCACAAGGGAUAGGACAAAGCGCCGUGCAUUAGCAUAAGUCUUGAAAUAAGGUGAGGGUGUCAGAUGUGGGCAUUAACGCAUAUCUUGAAAUCAGCAAAGUAGCCUUUCCCUCAUCCUCCUCACUUCCAAAAAUAUCUUUCCCAGAUAUUCUCUAUUGUUUUGCUGAAUGCAGUCAGGUCUUACUCAGUUUGCCUUAUAAGGAAUUUCAGGGUUUCAAGAGCUCAUGCCAUUGGGAGUUUUUCCUACUGUUCUGUGUGAAUUGCCUUCUGCUUAAUUUUAGUUCAUUAUGUCUGUAAAGUCAGGGAGGGCUUUAUGGAGCAAAAGGUCCCAUCGUCGUGGGAAGUAUGAGUCAUUCCAAGAACAGUGAGUUGGGCUGGAAGGCCAAGGCCGCUGCAGAGGGCCAGGAAGCUGGGGGUGGGUGGGUUAUUGAGAACAGCAUCAAAGCAGUCUCUCAUAUCUCUCUAUUACUCCCACUAGGGGGUGCCCAGCAUCCCAGUAAUCACUAUUACUAGGAAGUCGAGGUUUGAGGGGGCUGACUAAUAAGAGGGUAUGGCUGACUCAUGUUUCCUGCAUUGAGGCCCUGAUUUGAGAAGAGAGCUGGAGUGGGUGGAGGGUAGAAGGGGAGCAGGAGGGGUUCCCAUUCAGUUACUACACAAAUGCCUCUUAAGCAUGCGGGGAUUCUCAACCCAUGAAAACCACUGGUCCCGAAGUCAGUGACUAGAAUAAUUGUGGACCAGAAAUGUCUCCCCGGGCCCAGCAGAGAUGAAGGCGUAUUUUACCCCCGGGGGUCAAGAAGUUGCAGGGAUAAGAAAUGAGCACGGUUGAGGGGCGGGAGGUCAGGGAUGCAAUAAAGAUCAAGGACGUGGUGAGAUUCUGAAACAGAGUGGGUAUGGGGUGUGGAUAAAGGUCAGGGAGGAGGGGGGUUAUUUUGAGGAUCUCCAAAUAUCUAGUCCUUCAGAAUGGCUGCAGCAAAACUUUCAGUUAUGAAUGGUUUUACAGCAAGAACAUGGAACUUGCACCUUGAGAGUCGAGAGUUCAAAUUUUGGCUCAAACACACAGCAGCCAUGUGACCUUGGGAACUGAGGCAAGUCAUUCAACCUCUUUGAUUCUCAAGUCUCUCAUCUUCAAAAUGAGACUAAUGGUAGGAGGGUUAUUUGAGAUUUUCAAAGAUAAACAUAUAAAGCACUACAUAAAUCUCUCCUCCCUUUCCUUUUGCCAUACUUGUAAAUGGCUGAGAGCAAAGCAAGGAAAUGAAUCUUCUACUGUGGAUCUCGUACCCCAAGACCUCAGACACCAGGACUGCAGCCCCUGGGCAAGAGGGACCUCUCUGGUGCCCAGGGUUUUCUGCACUGCCGAGCUUAGUGAGCAUGCAGGACAUGCUGGAGAAGUCCUGGCCCUUCUGACCCUUUGGACUUUGCAGGCUUUGGGGACAUAAUUUAGAAACCAGUCUCCAGCUACAUUUUUAGAAGUCACCAUCUGGUCCUGAGGCUUUCAGUCUUGGAGAGUUCACUUGUUUUGCCCAAAGUCAGAGUGCCGACACCUGGCCUGGAAUUCAGGUGCAGAGCUCUCUCUCUUAUCACCAGUUGAUCCAUGCUUAUGUGAUAAUGACCAACCAUUCUUUGCAGCACAGUUUUCCAAAGUAUGAGCCAUAGACAACCUGCACCGACAUCAGCAGGUGGGCUUGAUAAAAAUGCAGAUUUCUGGCUCCUUGGACACACCUGUGCAAUCAGACUCACUGAAGUUUAAAUGCAGCGGCUUACAGAGUUACCAGCCCCGGGAUACACUGUUACAUGGAAAUAUAAUGCCUUCAUCUUCCAGGAUACUCUUUAGUGGGGGAAAGUUGGGGCCCUCAGGCAGAGUCCUGGCACUUCAGGAAUCAUAGCUUACAGGUGUUUUUAACCCUGCCUAUUUAUAGAGCCGACUCUGUCCCUAGUUACUUCCCCUAGAACUUCUUAAAUGUUGUUAGAACCAUCGCUGUGAAUGUCACAGGAGACCGUUUCUGUGGACACCUGAUGAGACUGUGAUUUGGAAAGGAACAAGAGGAUUCAUCUGCCUCUACUGGAGGUAGCUCCCUUCCCUAAUUUAUUGUUCCAUUCUAAGCCUUCCCGCCUCCUGGGCUCAGCGUGAGCAGACAGGAGCACUGGAGGAUGCAACCACCAUGGAGAUUCAAGUUCACAGACACAGAGCUGCCCCUCUGCUGGGCCCGAGGCAAAGAAAAAUCCCAACCUCUUUCUUGUCAUCAUCUGGUUUUGUUGAACCUGGACAGGAAAUGAAUUCCAAAGGCAGGAAAUGACCCAGAGACCAUAACAACAUGUGAAAAGCCAACCCGGUGCUUCCGUCACUUUGUUUCAAAGUAUUCUAAUCUGUGUCCCAGGAAGCCUAACCCAUUACCAGAUGGAGAUUUGUUUUCAGCCGCCUCUUGGCAUCUGCCACUCCCGGCUGGUGACAUUUGCACGUUUCAGAAGGCAAACCUGUCCCGACAUCUUCAAACUUCCGGAGAGGGGCAGCUUGAGGAAAGUCCUUGGGUCCCUGGCUGACAACACCGACCAUCUGACAUGCUUCAUCUGCAGCUGAACUGCUGCUGGCCCCCAGCCUAGGACACAAGCACACCGUGUCUGUUCUUGACAAUUUGCAGCAUCUGAAAUCAAAAUGCCCCACGUUGCCAGAAAAGGCUGGCUCCCUCGCCUGCUUCCUAAUCCCUUCUCACCAGGCUUUCCUAAAGAAACCCGGUGAGUCAGGAAGGAAGAAAACGUGUCUCAGGAAGAUCUGGGGGUGGCGUGGUUCCUCUUCUUGCUUCUGAAAAUUUCCUCCUGCUUUCCUACAGUGUGGGCAAUGGUUACGGAUUGGGUUGUACUCUUUCUCUGUUUUCCUCUGUCAGCUCUCGCUUUGAGAAACUCUUCAUUUACCGCUCAUGAAAUUUACUCUGCAAAAGCAGGAGGCCCUCUGUUGAGGAAUUAGUCACUGUUACAAAGAAGUUUUGUCUUUACUUUUCUCCCCAGGGGCAAGGCAAGAAAAAAUUCCCACUUCUACUCCCAGGAAGAACCAUCAUUCAGCGGCUUUGUUCUGGCCCAGGGGCCUGUACUUUUCCUAGGCUUUUAAUUUUUACUGAACACCACCCAUCUGCCUUCCCACCAAAGGCUGUGUGCCAGUUGGAUUCUAAACACAGCGAGGUGGCUUCUGGGAUACCUGCUCCAAACAGGUAUUCUGUUAACCCCCCUCGGGUCAUUGGAAAGUGGAAAGUAGCUAUAGCUGAAUGAAUAAUGUUCCUAACUCUUUCAGCACUUUCAAAUGUUAAACAGAUUAACGUAUAAAGAAUCCAAUAUACUUGUUGACAUCUGGUUCGCAGAAAAGCUCCAGCAAGAAAGAAGUGGGAAAUUCAAUGUCAGGCUGGGGAAAUGGGAACAGCAGUGGAGGGCACUGCUGUCCUGUGUGCUGGCAUCAGACCUGUUCCUGAGUGCAAAACCGCUCUCUGCCGCUGUCUAAAAUUGUGCUCUGUUUAUUAGGAAAGAGGUUUCAAAAGUACAGGAUGUACUCAUAAGCUUGGAUUUAUCCAUGGAAAGGGAAUAUAGUCUCCAUUACAAGACAGUAGGUUAAUAUCGGAGGCAGGUUGUAUCGACUGUAUGUAGCUGGCAGUAAUUGGAAAA